UUUGUGGGUUUUAUCCAAGAUAUAAAUAGAGGGAGAGAAGGUUCUGGAGAAGGUAAGUUCAAAAGAAGAUAUCAGAUCUAGAUUUUUUCUCUCAUUCUUAUCUCUCGAGAGUCUUGUUGUUAGCUUGAUAUAUACGUCUGAUUUGUUGUAUUUGAGUAUGAAAAAAGGUUUUGUAAUCAAUUCUAUUUUUCUCAUCUUUUGAUCGUUAGAAGUAGAUUAGGUUGAGUGACAAUCUGAGUGUUUUUAUGUAGUGAGUUUUGAGUUGUAAGUAAAUUGAAAACCACCUGUUUCUUGAUCUUAAAUUGAUAUGAGAAAUGGUGAUGUUGGGAAGUUUGUCUUGUGAGUUUUUUAACAUGGUAUCAGAGCUUAAGGCUCGUCUUCGUUGAUCCUGACGGUCGCUUCUUGUUCGUCUUCUCGUGUUUCUACUUUUGACGAUCUGUGAAAGGGAUGUUGUGAUUCGAGAUCUGACUAAGCGUUGCUGUGAAGUAGGUUAAAACUCUCCAACGUAGUCGAUCAAUCCCUAUUAAUCUGAAAUAAUCCUCUAGGGGUCAGAUUUCAUCACUGAUAAACCCUUGUAGGAAACGGAUUUAGGGAGUCGACGUAGUCAAUCUUUUUUGCCUAUUGCACUGUGAGGGUUUCUCGUUCCCUUCUCUCUAUUUUCUAGUUGUAGAUCUGGAAAUUUUUUGAUGUUUUGAGUAUAUCUGUUAUUUGUUGUUGCUUCUUGAAGCUGUUCUGUUUUUUUCCACACUGUGUUGAUUGUCUUGGGCCCCGACAUACUAUGGUGACCAUCUGGACUUUAAGUCAACACUAGUGUUGGUUUUUUGUUCUUGAUCUCUUUUGCUAUUUGGUUUCUUGAUUGUUUCUUGUGAUUUACUAUGGCUGGUGAAACUUCUGAUGGGAGUGGUGUUCCUAAGGAAACUCCUAUAGAUUUUGAUGAUCCUUUAUAUGUCCAUCCUUCUGAUAAUAAUGUAACGUCUAUUAUAACUGUUAAGCUGACUGGUAAUGAGAAUUAUCGAUUGUGGCGUAGUGCUAUGUCUAGAGGUCUUAAAGCUAGAAAUAAAUUGGGCUUUGUGGAUGGUACUAUUACUCUUGAAAGUACUAAUAAAUCUAAAGCUUCUAAAUGGGAACGUGUAAAUGCUGUUGUCUGUAAUUGGAUUCUAGGGUCAAUUUCUGAAACUAUAUAUGCUAGUCAUGUGUAUUCAGAUAAUGCUAAAGAUAUUUGGGAUGAAUUGUUUGAAACAUAUAAUAAAUCUGAUGGAUCUGUAAUUUUUAAUAUUCAUCAGCAGAUUAACACAUUAAAACAAAAUGGUUCUUCUCUUUCUGAUUAUUUUAAUAAACUAGAUUCUUUGUGGAAGGAGUUUGAUGGUUUAACUAGUUUAACUGAAUGUGUAUGUGAGGCAGCUACAAAACUUAAUGAUCAUUCAAAAUUGAUGAAACUAAUGCAAUUUCUUAGUGGACUUGAUGAUGUUUAUAAUCAAGUCAAGAGUCACAUUCUUUUGAUGGAACCUUUACCCAAUGUUAAAUCUGCCUUCUCUAUUCUUUCUAGAGAAGAGUCUCUUCAAAAGAAUGGGUCUCUUGGGUCUACUGUUUCUUCAAAACCUCAAGUUUCUGUGUUUAAUAGCAAAGUUAAUGAUUUUAAACGAGGGCAGAAUCAAGUUAGGUUUAAGAACCAAGGAUUACAAUGCAAACAUUGCAAUCUUAAAGGUCACACUAUAGAAAGAUGUUAUAAACUAAUUGGUUAUCCAAAGGAUUUUAAAUUUAAAAAUGAAAGUAAUAGUCAAAACAAAUCUGGUUCUGUCAACUCUUCUUCUGCUAGUGCUAACAAUAGCAAGUCUGUUUCUUCUGAGUCUGGUCUUGGGAGUGAUGCUCAUUUUCUCACUGGUGAGCAAUAUUCUAAGUUUUUGCGUCUCAUUAGUGAGAAUUCUGCUUGUGAUGAUGUGUCUGCCACUGCAAAUAUGGCAGGUAUGUCUAUGUUUCAAUGUUGUAAUUCUUUUGUUAGUUCAAAUGAUUCUCAAAGCUGGAUUGUUGAUUCAGGAGCUAAUCAACAUAUGAUAGCUUCUGAGUCUCAACUUAAAGAUGCUAUAGAUGUGUCUAAACUGAAUCUGUCUGUUAAACAUCCUAAUGGUUCAUCAGCUUCUAUAAAUAAAAUAGGGAAUCUUCAAUUGUCCUCACAUCUUACCUUAUUUGAUGUCUUUGCUGUUCCUGAUUUCAAUGUUAAUCUUUUGUCUGUCCAUAAACUUUGUAAAGACAGUAGCUGUGAGGUUGUUUUUUCUGAACAUACUUGUAAAAUCCAAGAUUCACUAUCAAAGAAGAUGGUGGAGAAUGGUAGAGAGUCUGGGGGAUUAUACUAUCUUGAUUGUGUUCCCUCAGGUAUUUCAAUAAAUAAUGUGUCUAAGUGUUAUGUUUCUAAACUAACUUGGCAUAGUAGACUUGGUCAUCCAGCAGACCAAGCUUUAAUAUCUUUAAAAGGUGUUCUAAAACUUCGAAAUGAAUCUCUUCCUCCUUGUGAUGUUUGUCAUAAAUCAAAACAAACUAGAGAAUCUUUUCCACAUAGUCAACAUACAUCAACCAAGUUAGGUGAACUGGUUCACAUAGAUGUCUGGGGUCCUUAUAGGCUUGCUUCUGUUGAGGGGUUUAAGUAUUUCCUGACUAUUGUGGAUGAUUUUACUAGGGCCACUUGGGUAUUUCUUUUAAAAUCUAAAAUUGAGGUUUUUGAUUGUUUUAAAUCCUUUGUUAAUAUUCUUUUAAAUCAAUUUAAUGUUAGUGUUAAAAUAGUACGUUCAGACAAUGGUACUGAGUUUGUUAACAAUCAAAUGCAGUUCUUUUGUUUUGAAAAAGGUAUAAUACAUCAAACAUCGUGUGCUUAUACUCCACUACAAAAUGGAGUUGUGGAGAGAAAGCAUAGGCAUAUCCUUAAUGUUGCUCGAUCUCUUUUAUUUCAAUCAGGAGUUCCUAUUAAGUAUUGGGGAGAUGCUGUUUUGACUUCUGUUUUUUUAAUAAAUAGAAUGCCUACUUCUGUUUUAAAUGGUCAAUUACCUUAUGAGCUUGUUUUUCAAAGAACUCCUAGUUUUGAUUAUUUAAGGGUUUUUGGUUGUCUAUGUUUUGCUGUUAAACCAAAUGUUUCUGAUAAAUUGUCUGAACGUGCUGAAAAAUGUAUUCUUUUGGGAUAUUGUUCUGAUAAAAAGGCUUAUAAACUUCUUAGUUUGGAUACUAAUUCUUCUUUUGUAUCCAGGGAUGUGAAGUUUUAUGAAUCUGUUUUUCCAUACAAGUUGAAAUCAACUUCUGUUGAUAAAGUUACAAAUAAUUUUGGCCCUAGUGAUCUCUUUUCCUAUGAUGAAUUUGAUAAUAAUAAAUAUAUAUAAAUGAUUAUAUUAAUCUUGAUGAGCUGAGAGUAGAGUCUCAGUUGGAUGGUGCUGAUGCAGCCAUUGGUAUGGAUGAUGUUGAGUCUAGUAAUUUUGUCAACCCUGGUGGCGAGGCAGUUGUGCCUCCUACUGAUUCAUCUGUUCCUUUUUCUUCGAGUGUAUCUGAGGAAAGUAGUCAGUCAGUCUUAACCCCUUCUUUGGAUCAGUCUAUAGGUGUCUCUAGAUCUAGGCGUGAAUCUCAUAUGCCUGUUAAGUUUUCUGAUUAUAUUGUAGAAGGUAAGUAUAAAUAUGGUGUUGAAAGAUCUAUUAACUAUUCUUUUCUUGAUUCUGAAACUAAGUGUUUUAUUUCUAAUCUUGAUAAAACUGUUGAACCUAAAAGUUAUAAUGAAGCCUUCUCUGAUCCAAAUUGGAUUAAAGUUAUGAAUGAUGAAAUGGAAGCACUUCAUCGAAAUAAUACAUGGGAAAUAACUGAUUUACCUAAAAAUAGGAAACCAAUUGGAUGUAAAUGGGUUUAUAAGAUUAAAUACAAGUCAAAUGGUGAAAUAGAUAGAUAUAAAGCACGUUUAGUUGCUAAAGGUUAUAAUCAAAGAGAGGGUAUUGAUUUUGAAGAGACUUUCUCUCCUGUUGCAAAAAUUGUAACAGUUCGUAUUGUUAUUUCUCUUUCUGUUCAUUAUUCUUGGUCCUUAUAUCAGUUGGAUAUUAACAAUGCUUUUUUAUAUGGAGAUCUUACUGAAGAUGUUUAUAUGUCACUUCCACCUGGUUAUUACUCUAGUAAUGAUACUAGAGUAUGUAAGCUUACUAAGUCUUUAUAUGGACUGAAGCAGGCUCCUAGGAAAUGGAAUGAAAAGCUUUGUGCUUCAUUGUUUAUGUUUGGUUUUAAACAGAGUAUAAGUGAUUAUUCGUUGUUUAUUAGGAAAGUUGAAGGUUCAAUAACUGUAUUGCUAGUAUAUGUUGAUGAUAUUAUUUUAACUGGAAAUAGUGAAGAAGAGUUUAAAAAGGUAAAGAAUUUUAUGAGUAGUCAGUUUUUAAUUAAAGAUCUCGGAACACUUAAAUAUUUUUUAGGGAUUGAAGUAGUUAAAUUUGACAGUGGUUUAUGUUUAAACCAAAGAAAAUAUUGUCUUGAGUUGUUGCAUGAAUAUGGUAUGCUUGGGUGUAAGCCUGUGACCACACCUUUGGAAACAAAUUUCGUUAUAAACUCUGAUAAUCAUGAUGGGAAAAAUGAAUUGUUGGAAAAUAAAACUGAAUUUCAGAAACUAAUAGGUAACCUUAUCUAUCUUACAGUUACUAGACCUGAUAUUUCUUAUGCAGUCCAGGUCCUUAGUUAGUAUAUGCAUAGUCCUAGAAAGUUACAUUUAAAUAUUGCUUUUAGACUGUUAAGGUAUUUGAAAAAUAGUCCUGGAAAGGGAAUUGCUUUAACCAAAUCAAGUGUGUUGGAAUUAAAAGGUUUUGUGGAUGCAGAUUGGGCUAAAUGUUUAGCCACAAGAAGGUCUGUAUCUGGGUAUAUGGUAUAUCUUAAUAAUUGUCUUAUUUCUUGGAAAAGUAAAAAGCAAUCUACUGUUUCAAGAUCCUCUACUGAGUCAGAAUACAGGGCUCUUGACUCUAUCACAUGUGAGAUAAUUUGGAUUUUAAAAAUUCUGUUUGAACUAGAGGUUAAAAAUCUUAUUCCUGCUUCUGUUUUUUGUGAUAAUAGUUCCACAAUUAAAUUAGCUCUUAAUCCUGUGUUUCAUGAAAGGACAAAACAUUUUGAAAUAGAUCUGCAUUUUGUUAGAGAAAAAAUUUCUAGUGGUGUUUUAAAACUUGUAAAAAUUGGUUCUGAUGAACAAAAUGCUGAUAUACUAACAAAGUCUUUAAGUGUGAAACAACAUGAAUUUUUAUCUAAUAAAAUGGGUCUUAUUGAUAUUUUCAGAAAAUAAAUAUUUCGAUUGAGGGGGGAUGUUGAAAAUGUUCAUUUAUCUUCUUACGAUCUCAUAUUUAUUUUAAGAAAGUUGUGAAGGGUAUAUUGUGUAAAUAUUGUAUUCUGGAAGGAUGAUAAAUGUAUGCAGGUUAUAGAAAAAACACGCGGGUUGAAUUUGGGUCGAAUCUGGAUCGGAUUAUAUUUGUGGGUUUUAUCCAAGAUAUAAAUAGAGGGAGAGAAGGUUCUGGAGAAGGUAAGUUCAAAAGAAGAUAUCAGAUCUAGAUUUUUUCUCUCAUUCUUAUCUCUCGAGAGUCUUGUUGUUAGCUUGAUAUAUACGUCUGAUUUGUUGUAUUUGAGUAUGAAAAAAGGUUUUGUAAUCAGUUCUAUUUUUCUCAUCUUUUGAUCGUUAGAAGUAGAUUAGGUUGAGUGACAAUCUGAGUGUUUUUAUGUAGUGAGUUUUGAGUUGUAAGUAAAUUGAAAACCACCUAUUUCUUGAUCUUAAAUUGAUAUGAGAAAUGGUG
rnacentral:lncRNA from 1 species